GUCUUCGCGCUUCCACUCCCCGGGCGCGCCUCUGGCCUCGGCUCUGCGCGCCUCCUUCCUGUGUCCCCGGGGCGCCGUCCAGUCCCCCAGCUCGGUCCCUCCCGUCAUUCCGCCGCCAUUCCAUACGCUAUUUUUAAAUGUAAACCCCUCCCAACACUGGAAGAGGAAACAGAGACCAGUGCGCUGUGCAGUCUCACUUAACUAGAAUGCACAACUCCUGCUUUUAUCACCAUUCUGGGAAAUCCCCGCUGCAUUUCAUGGCCAGGGCAGCACUUCAUAGUUGGAAAAGGAUGGUGUGGACUUGCCGCAGAGGCCCUAGAGAAGGCCAUCCUGUGUUCCUGCUCUCCUUCUCAUCCGGCUUCUACCCCCACCCCACCCCCCAACAAAAACGCUACAGGUUAUAAGAUCUACAUUCUGAACCUGGCUUUCAGGGGCUAGGUGUGUUGUGUGUUGCACAGCUCUAGAGGUAGCAUAGCCUUGAUCAUCGGGGUGGAGGUGUCUAUUUACUAUAUGUUGCAGCAGAUGGCAGUGAAGUGUCUUGAGGAAGAGGUGUUUUUAUCAUUUGAAGGUUAUGGGGUGUAAUAAUAAAGACUGCAAUUCACAGACCUUGAGCCUAGCAGGCCAAUGCCAAGGGCAGAACUGUAGGCUCCCACAGCACAGUUCCACAGAGGAAGGGGGCUGGUUAGUAAGGGGAAAGAAGGAUAGAAGACUGCAGUAAAUGUAAACAGCCGUAUUUUCAACAUAAUUUACUACAGGUCUCUGAAGUGUAUAUAAAAUGUUUUAGUGCAACAUCUUACAAAUAGUUUUCCUUUAAAAAAACAGAAACAAAUCAACAGCUCUCUACAUCAUGCAUGGGUAGUUUUCUUACCCCAUCUUUUUUUUUCCUCAAUAAUUAACGCAGAGAAACCAUUGUUUGAAAAGAAUAUGAAAACUUGCUACAGAAACACCCGGUGAAAGAGGGUGUGGUCAUAUUCAUGUCCUAGAAUGCGCCUAGCACAGUGUAGUUUUUCAUAAAUGCAACAUUGUAGACAUAGAUGAAUCCAGAGUAUUCAGCAGUUUUCCUCCGUCUCAGAA